rnacentral:rRNA from 1 species
AAGGCUUGGUCCUGACUUUACUAUUGGCUCGAAUUGUACUUAUACAUGCAAGUCUCAGCCCCCCUGUGAGAAUGCCCUUACCCCCUGCCCUGGGGUAAGGAGCUGGUAUCAGGCUCAACCUUAGGCCCACGACACCUUGCUUUGCCACACCCCUAAGGGUACUCAGCAGUAAUAAAUAUUAAGCUAUGAGCGCAAGCUUGACUUAGUUAAGAUUUUUAGGGCCGGUAAAACUCGUGCCAGCCACCGCGGUUAUACGAGAGGCCCAAGUCAAUAGAACUCGGCGUAAAGAGUGGUUAAGAUAUAAAUAAACUAGAGCCCUACACCCCCAAGGCUGUUAUACGCAUCCGUGGAGUGGAUGACCUCUCACGAAAGUGGCUCUAAUAUACUGAACCCACGAAAGCUACAGAACAAACUGGGAUUAGAUACCCCACUAUGUGUGGCCGUAAACUUUGAUAGAAACCAUACACACGCCUAUCCGCCCGGGUACUACGAGCGUUAGCUUAAAACCCAAAGGACUUGGCGGUGCCUCAGACCCCCCUAGAGGAGCCUGUUCUAGAACCGAUACCCCCCGUUCAACCUCACCACCUCUUGCCCUUGCUGCCUAUAUACCGCCGCCGUCAGCUUACCCUGUGAAGGCCCGAUAGUAAGCAAAACUGGCAUAGCCUAAAACGUCAGGUCGAGGUGUAGCGCAUGAGGUGGGAAGAAAUGGGCUACAUUCUCUAACCCAGAGAACACGAAAGGCGUGUUGAAAUACAUUCCAGGCGGUUUAGCAGUAAGUGAAAAAUAGAGUGUUUCGCUGAA